UGGGGCUCCCGCAAGUGGGCGGUGAGAUUGGUCCCCUUGGAUUAGUCGGUCCUAAGGCCGGAUACCAAGUUUUCAAAAAAAUAAAAUAAUAUUAGAAUCCACCUUAGAGGUGGCUUCUAGGGUGAGGGCUCAAUUAAGUCCCUCACCGGUGUACCACUUAACUUGACCAUGAGAUUAAACAGGCAUACAUGAUCUAAAUGUUCCUUAUCACAAUGGAUUCAUCUACUUUUUUUUUUCUCUCGCCCUCAACCGAUCUCCCUCUCUCCACCGUCUGCAUUCUCCAUGAUCUUUUGCCACCGUCUGCAAAUAAUUACCCAUGAAUUGAUAUUUUUCUGUCAUCUAAAGCAUAACUGUACUGUUGUAAAUUUGUAAUUGGGAAGAACGAAAUGGGUUUUAAAGCCAAAACAUUCAUAUUUUAACACCUUACCUUUUUCACCAUCUUCAUCUCAUGGGUAAUAGCAAAUCGAAUACUCAUUUUAUCAAUUGUGUUUCAUAAUCUAAAAGGGCCCCAAAAACAUUUCACCAUCUAACUGAUCUAAGCACUUGUGAAUAAAAUCAAAGUUGAGAAUGGAAAAAAUACAGUUGCAAAGUUUUAUAUAAUAUCCAUGUUAUUAUUGGAUCAGAAAAAAACCUAUCUAUAACUUAAAAAUUUUCCAAGUGUACAGUUAUUGUCAUUUUCUUACACUUUUGAGAUGUGGAGUUUCUUGAUUGAUGGCGCUAUCAAAACCCAUUUUUUUUCUUCUCAGAGAAAUUUUUUUUCUUUCUUCCCACAAAAAUUAUCCACAAAAGAAUCAAUCUGAAACACCCAUUUAAUGAUUUUUUAAAACAAAGUCUAGUUUUGUUUUAAAGAGUGUUUUUAUUGAACCAGUUUUUUUUUGAAGAAGCUAAAUUAGCACACCCAAAUUGGCGCCAGAGAGAAUCGAACCUCAGACCUCAAAAGGAGCACACUCCCAGGUCCCAAGCCAAUACCAAUGCACCAACCCAAGUGGUUUUUUUUUAUUGAACCAGUUAAAGCAUUCAUGGAUGUUGGACUUGGCAGGCGAUGAAAAAGAGAAUGAGAGUGCUAUAGGAAAAUAAAGAGAAAAAGAAGGUGAAUCAAGUGUGAUAACAAUUAAUAAAAUCUCACGCGCUUGGUUAAUCUAAUGGUCAAGAUGAGUGGUACACCGGUGAGGGACUUAAUUGAGCCCUCACCUUAGAAUCCACCUUAGAAUGUAUGUAUGUUAGAAACCACAAACCAGUAACCCUCAAGAACACUAAAAUUUUACAACAACCCUAGUCUCAUAUUAUCUUAAAAACGACAAGUAAUCAGAACAAAAAUACACUAAUAAAACACUAAUUAAUCCUCUCUCUUGAAGGAUAAACUCAUAAAAUCCAUACCAACUACUAACAAAUUUAAUAACACAAAAAACUUUCUUAGUUCCCUUGAUUUACAUAAAAUGAUCUUAUAUUACCCAAAAGCACUUAGAUGAAAUGGCACAAGUCUCUUCUAGCUUAACCAAGGUCUUGGACUUGAUCCCUGACUUGGGCAUGCAGUAUUGUUAAAACUAAUGUAUAUGGGCAUAAAUUAAGGUACUCUCCCUCAAAUGGAGUACCCGUGCAUCAUAGGUUAAAACUCUUAACGAGAGUUUGCCACUCAUUUGCCUCCCACUAAGGAUUAGUCUCUUUCCAGAGGAUACGCCGAUUACACCCAAAAAAAAUCCUAUAUUUAGGUAGGGAGGUAAUAUUAAUUUAAUGUAAUAGAAGCAACAAAUUCUCAAACAAGCAACAAAACACUUAAAAAAUGAAAACAUAUAGAAGGAAAUUAUAUAUAUACAAUGAUACCUAAAAUCAGUGGAAUCGAAGGAGAAUUUGUAUGAAUUAUACCUAAAAUCAGUGGAAUCGAUCAUCUUCCAUUCUCUGAUGUGCUUUGGGCACAGGCAAUGCUUUAUCUCUGUAUCCCUUCUUCGAUUCCAGUAUUCUCAUGUUUGUUCCAAUAUGCAUUUCCUCGCAUCGCUCACUCUUUCUGUUGGGCGAUUCCUCUUUCGCCAUUUUUGCUCCAAAAAUAUUCAUUCACCCCUUGUCUCUGUCUUUUCUGCUGCGUUUAGAACGGUGUGUCAUGUCAACAUUUCCUACCAAAUUUCUAAAAACA
rnacentral:lncRNA from 1 species